rnacentral:rRNA from 1 species
AAUCAACGCUGGCGGCGUGCCUCAGACAUGCAAGUCGAACGCGAAAGGCUCCUUCGGGGGCCGAGUAGAGUGGCGCACGGGUGAGUAACACGUAGGUAAUCUGCCUUUGGGUGGGGAAUAACUCAGGGAAACUUGAGCUAAUACCGCAUAAUGCAGCGGCUCGACAUCGAGACAGUUGUUAAAGCGGGGGAUCGCAAGACCUCGCGCCUGAAGAGAAGCCUGCGGCAGAUUAGCUAGUUGGUAGGGUAAUGGCCUACCAAGGCGACGAUCUGUAACCGGCCUGAGAGGGCGGUCGGUCACACUGACACUGACAUACGGGUCAGACUCC